rnacentral:rRNA from 1 species
UACGAAGGGGGCUAGCGUUGCUCGGAAUCACUGGGCGUAAAGGGCGCGUAGGCGGAUUUCUAAGUCAGGCGUGAAAGCCCCGGGCUCAACCUGGGAACCGCGCUUGAGACUGGCACGCUAGAGUUCGGGAGAGGAUGGUGGAAUUCCCAGUGUAGAGGUGAAAUUCGUAGAUAUUGGGAAGAACACCGAUGGCGAAGGCAGCCAUCUGGACCGACACUGACGCUGAGGCGCGAAAGCGUGGGGAGCAAACAGG